CUUCGCUGUGCCACCACGACUCUCUCUCUUUGCGCGACUCUGCCUCAGUCUCCCUCUGUUCCACCGCGCCCCUCCACUCCACUGCUCCUCCAGUCCUCUUCAGCCUCCAGCCCACGGGUUCUCUCUCUACGGCAUGGACCCUUUCCAUCUCAGCCUCUCUCCUCGACGGCCCUUUCUAUACUCGACGGUGAUAGACUAACGGUGUCAAAUGGCCUUGAAGUCUCGAACUUGGUUGCUCUCUUCCUCAAGCAGCAAAGCAGAAAGCCAGAAACUGUUGGUUACACUCUGGAUUCGGUUUCUGGGUUUUCACUUACAUUCUUGGUUUCACUCUUCAAGCUUGGUUAGGUUCUGAAAUCAAGCUUGCUUGAGGCCGUCAUCUCAAAAAGUUUUAUCGCUAGUUGCUGAGUUGAAAACACUUAAGAAGAAUAAUGAAACACUGGAGAAGGAUAAAGAACAUCAAAGGAUCAAUCUUCUUUCUGUUGAAGAGGAGG